rnacentral:rRNA from 1 species
UACGUAGGGCGCAAGCGUUAUCCGGAAUUAUUGGGCGUAAAGAGCUCGUAGGCGGUUUGUCGCGUCUGCUGUGAAAGACCGGGGCUCAACUCCGGUUCUGCAGUGGAUACGGGCAGACUAGAGUCAGGUAGGGGAGAACGGAAUUCCUGGUGUAGCGGUGAAAUGCGCAGAUAUCAGGAGGAACACCAGUGGCGAAGGCGGUGCUCUGGGCCGGAACUGACGCUGAGGAGCGAAAGCGUGGGGAGCAAACAGG